rnacentral:rRNA from 1 species
UGUCACAGAACGCCAAUCGUGAAGACAGGUCACGAAAUUAUUACCUGACGCUCAUGCACGAAAGCGUGGGGAUCAAACAGGAUUAGAUACCCCUGGUAGUCCACGCUGUAAACGAUGAUUACUCGUUGUUUGGGCAGUGAUGCUCAGUGGCUAAGCGAAAGCGAUAAGUAAUCCACCUGGGGAGUACGAUCGCAAGGUUGAAACUCAAAGGAAUUGACGGGGGCCCGCACAAGCGGAGGAGCAUGUGGUUUAAUUCGAUGAUACGCGAGGAACCUUACCCGGGCUUGAACGUAAGACGAAUAUAUAAGAGGUUAUAUAGCCUUCGGGCGUCUUGCGAGGUGCUGCAUGGUUGUCGUCAGCUCGUGCCGUGAGGUGUUAGGUUAAGUCCUGCAACGAGCGCAACCCUUACACUUAGUUGCCAGCACGUAAUGGUGGGGACUCUAAGUGAACUGCCUACGCAAGUAGAGAGGAAGGUGGGGAUGACGUCAAAUCAGCACGGCCCUUAUGUCCGGGGCUACACACGUGCUACAAUGGUAUGUACAGAGGGCAGCCACCUGGCGACAGGGAGCUAAUCCUCAAAGCAUAUCUCAGUUCGGAUUGGAGUCUGUAACUCGACUCUAUGAAGUUGGAUUCGCUAGUAAUCGCGCAUCAGCCAUGGCGCGGUGAAUACGUUCCCGGGCCUUGUACACACCGCCCGU